AUGUCUGAAUCUCAGGUACACUAAAGUACCUUUGUGCUUCUCUAUCCAUAUAGAGCUGUGAUAAUUCCUGCUUGGCAGGUUACUGGAGGAGUGGGUAGAGGAAUCCUCAAUUUUUAAAUCAUUGUGGAAGAGGCUGUUCCAAAUGCUACAGUGCUACUGUAUUCACAAGCCCUGCUUCUAAACAGAGAUGAUGAUGGGACUUCUCAAACCUCCUCCAAGAAGAGAGCUCAGCACAGUAGGAGCUAAUUGCUGUGCACAGAGACCAUAUUUCCUGGAAAGUGGUAGGAACUGAUUACCCUCUUAGAUCACUGUGGGCGAGAAGUAAUUCUGCUGCAGCCAAGAGAUAUAUAAGUGGUACUCUGCAUGAGAUGGAACGAGAUAAACAGAGUUUCUACGCUGAAGAACAACUGUGUAGGAGAAAGCAAAGAUCUUUACAUGGAGAUCCAACAGAUCAUGAAUUCUCUGUUCAACUUUCUGAUUGCUGUGCUUCUCCCAAUUUCUUCUGUGUGUAGGAUUUUGCAAGUCCAUUCAGAGACACAGAGCAAAAGUGAAAGGCUGUCUGUCAUUCCUAAGGCCCGGGCAUGGGGAGAGAUAUCCAGUUAUCUUCUGCAUGUAGAAGACAAGCUUUCUCUCCAACAGACCUCAUGGCUAGGAGCUACAGAGCUGCCUGCUCCCGUGGAGGUUGUCUGUGAUGGAGCCUGUGCACUUCCUCUUUUUGAAUAUCUACCCUAAGAGUCAGGCUGGAUGUGGACAGGAGUCCUUACUUAGUUCACUGAAGACCUGAGGCCUACAUGCCUGAGAGAGAAAAGGAAAAAUCUUGGCAGAUUGCUAACAUAUCAAAUGUUAAUGAAUACAGUUCUCUAAUUAGAAAUGUCUGCAAGAACUGAGUAAUAGGAUCUUUUGAAAAAGUGACAGCUUUUAAUUUCUUUUGUUAGUCAAGUUUAUACUUUUCUAUAUUAGAGCUUUUAUCAAAUUGGCAUCAGUCUUUAGGAAUGACAAUAAUACUCAAAAUACAAAUACAGUUUCUUUUGAAAUAAUUGGCUCUAAACUGCUCAGCAUCAAGCAUUUACUGGAUUUAAUUGUGAAUUGGCUUAAUAUUAAUUAAAAUAACUCCCAUCCUCAGUGUGAAGUUUCAGGAGAUGCAGAUGUUUUCUUCUGUGUGCCCACCUCUAUUUUAUACCAACCCCCCAAAGCAGAACAAAAUGCUGAAGAUCCAGAACAGCACAUAAACAUUAUGUGGCCCUUGAAGUCAUAUAAAAGAGCCUGAAAGAGAUGGUUUCUUUCAUUCUUGGCCAGAAAGCGAUAGACAAACAGGUAAAAAGGCAAGGAGAAAAAUACCAUUUACUCACUGUAGCAGCAGGAAAUUCAAGCAAAGAAAAUAAACAGGGUUUGAAUUCUGGGCCUUUAACCUGU
ensembl:lncRNA